rnacentral:lncRNA from 1 species
ACAUCAAUCAGACCGUGCAGCGCCCCGGUGGCCCCCAGCCCGUGGGCGGGGCGGUGUCAGGCCUCGUCCCGGCCCGGUCCCGGUUCUGGGCAGAGCCCCGCUGGACUCGCCUCCGGCUCUUGGGCCCUCCCGGUCACCACUCGCGCUGCUCCGGGCCCUGCGCCACCGCUCCUAGCCCAAGCCCGCCCUUCCGAGGAAGGAAAGUACAAAGGCGGCGACGGGGCCGCCGAGGGGGGGGGGGGGCAGGGAGAGGAGGAGGAGGGGGACGGAGGGGGCUCGGGCGCGCCAGACGCGAGGAGCCCGCCCCUGCCACCCCUGCCCGCGGGCCUGGCCGCCGCAACAAAAGACCCCCGACCCAGCCGCCUCGCUUCCGACCGAGGGCGGCGAGCGAGCCGCGCCCCCGGGGGCUGCAUUACCUGGUCGCAAAGGGUUAAGCGGUCCUGUCAGCCCCAAGUUCAUGGUUUGGGUCCUUGGCAGGGCUCUCGAUGGGUGAUCAUCAGAAACCAGGGGGAAAACACCAAAGCGCACGGAGAGAAAACGCCCAACUCCAACCCGGCUCGGUCCGCCAAGAGUCUUCCUCGCCAAAGUCUGAGAGCGGAUGCAAGCGAACCAAAUCCGAACCGGAGUCGCAGCAGCCUUCGGGCGGCCGAGAGCCAGCGCCGCGCGCACACAUCCAGUGCGGCCGAGUCCAGGCGGGCGGCGGGAGGGCGCCCGGCCCGCGCUCGCCGGCUGCCUCCCUGCCGCUUCUGCGGCGCACGGGGCCGGGCGGCGCGGCGGGGGGCUCGCGAGGCGCGUCCCGGGCCGGGAAGCUGGCGGGCGAGGUGGAGAGGUGCGGCCCGAGCCGCCGCCGCGGCGCGCGGAGCUAGGAGCGAGGCGGCGGCGGCGGCGACAGGACAAAGGAGACCAUUUGCGGAGGGAGGGAGGAGGGAGGAGGAGGAGGAGGUGAAGGAGGAGGAGGAGGGCGCGCGGCGGCGGCGGCGGCGGCUGCUCCCCGGCGGCCGCCUCGGGCUCCCCGACAGCGGGUCCCGCCUCUCCAGCAGCGCCGCGGGCUGGCUGGUCCCGGGCCCGCCGCCGUCGCAGCGGCGCUGGAGGGGGACGCUCCGGGAGUCUUUGAUUUUGUGUCGACCUCGCCGGCGCGAGGCGGCGGGAGGCGCUGCAGCGGCCGGGGCGCCGGGCGGGCUGCGCGGGGCCGCCGGCGCCUGCUGGCCAGAGCUCGCGGGCAGGUGGGCGAGCGCCCGGGGCUGGCUCAGCUCCGGCCCGAGCUCCGCUGGCGGGCGCCUGCUUCUCCCGCCGCUUCACGGCUCAAGUGAACUCCAUCGGCGGCCGCCGCCGGCGCCGCGGGCUCCCGGGCUGGACGGUGGCAGGAGGGGGCGGCGGCGGCGGCGGGAGGGAGGGGGCGCCGGGCUCCAGACUUCGCUCCCCGACUGCGCCGAGCGCGCCUCUUCCAGACGCUCGCAGAUCUCGGAGCGGGACUUCCUCGGCGCGCGGAGCCCGAGCCGCCAGAGCCACCGCCCCUCUUCGAUGCAGCCCCGCCCCGCGCGCCCCGCCCCGCGCCGCCCCUCCUCUCGGCCCCGGCGCCGGGUCGGCCCCGCGGGGGCGCAGUCCCCGGGCGCGACAUGGACAGCUGUUGCUCCCCGCGCCGCUCAGGCCCUUGGGCCCCGAGGCUGCCUUCCCCGCGGGCGGAUGCGCGGCGGGAACUGCAAACCUCCGCGCCUUCCCCGCGGUCGCCGUGGCAGGGAAAGGCCACUAGGCCCGCGGCCCGGGGGUGAACUGCGGCUAGGCCGGUCACAUCUGCAAAAAGCUGGCUCACUGGGCAGUUGUGAGGGGUCGAUGGGAGUCAGAUAUGUCAGAGUCCUGGCACUCGGGGGGGGGGCGCUUAGCACAAGAUGA